UUGAAGCUUAUCCAAACGGUGGGGAAUAAAAUUCUAAAAGUUGCUUGAAAAGCAAGCAAUUGAGGUAAGGGAAGCUAAAUUUAAUUUUUUAAUAGCACCCUAGGAUAGAAGAUCUGAAUGCGGAAGGGACGUGGUCCCAAUAUUCAAUUUUUCUUGCAGGGAUGUUGUGUGUUUAUAUAUAUUGGGUUGUUUGUUUAUAUAUUAAUUAAAUUGGUGGAAAUAUUCGGUUUUGAUGAUUUAGUAUUAAAGUGUUAUUUUUUUUAUGUCAAAUAAACUUUUGAAUAUUUUGGGAUCACUUUUUGAAUUAUAUUGUAUGACGAAAUGGUAUGGAAUUGAAUUCAUACAUUUGGGAUAAUGUAUGGACUGAUGUUCGUUGUGUAUUAAAUAUUGAUGUCGGGAUAAUGUAUGGACUGAUGUUUGCUGUGUAUUAAGUAUUGAUGCCUAUGUGGUAACAGAGAUCUCCGAGCUUCACUGAUGAUCUAAGUCACAUAGACUAAGAUAUCAGGUGGUGAGAAGCUGAUGGGGGAGUUCAUGCACACCGUGACAUAUGAGAUGCACGGCUUGGGUUGUAUUGAACUUACCCUGAUCCUUUCUGUUGGAUUCGCUGGUAAUCUUUGGAUCAGGUGUUAGUCUCUGGUAGGACUUACUUAAUACGGGUCUUCCGGAAGACGUUGUUUGUUGAAUAUUCUGGAUGUGUAGAUCCAUGUGAGAUCUAUGUGAUUGUUUUAAUGUUGGGAAUUGAAGAAGAUUGUGUAAUUUGAGAAAUUGAUCAUGUAACUUGGUUUUCUCUUUGGAUUUAAGUGUGUAUAUUAUAAAAUUCUAUUUUCAGUAGCUUACCCUUGCUUUUCUUGCUGUGUUUGAACUGCGAUGACUGUACUAUGUACAUGAG
rnacentral:lncRNA from 1 species